UAUAACGCCCCAUAUCGAUUUAUCUAGAAUAUCGACAAGAGUGUACAUAACUGAAUCGGGAAACAUUAAAUUUUUAUUACAUAUCGUCCGAAUACAUAAAUAGGAUUAUAGAAUUCAAGAGAUUAAUACUAAAUUGAGCUAACAACUGAAAACAUAAAGAAACUAAAUCUUAUACAAAAUAUAAGAUAACAUGACGUCAGCUCAACUAGCAUAAUCCAAGCACCUGAACUCCAUGCUUGCAGACCAUCAUAUCUCGAUCAAUCUGUUUAUCUGAAAUCAAAUAAGUGGGGGAUGAGACAGUCACUUCGUCUCAGUGGAUUCCAACUACCCAAUUACUAUCGGUGUCUACACCGGGGCUACUGAUGAACUAAUGUUCCUUGAUCCUGAUAGUCAAUCUCUAAACAUGAUUUACAUAGCAUAAUUUCAUAACGUAAUACAUNNNNNNNNNNNNNNNNNNNNNNNNNNNNNNGUGAGCCGGUCUCAGAGGCCUGACAUGUCCGUCUGCGAUAAUAAUGUACAUCGACACGGCUGAAGCUCACAAUCAUAACAUGAUUGGAUUCUAACGAAUCCCAUAACGUGGUACAAAAGUAACCACCAUAAUUGAUUGACUUUCUUGACUUAAAUUAAUAAUCUUGAUUGUUAUCCUGCCCAUGAAUUCCCUAUCGGGGUAAUACUAACUUGUCCUGAUUUCCUGAUUAUCAUGUACCUAACGUGUAAUUAACAUUCUAAUUAUUUAAUGUACUUACAGUAUCCACAGAAAAUAUCUAGAAGGGUCAGGGAUCUAAAAAGAGUGAAAGCAUCGCAUUUUAAAAGAUUCUGCAGGAUACUGAUUUGCUAUUCUCACUUAGUGAGGAUACCAAUUCAGCACUUUGUUUUAUAUAAACUAUGCAUAAAUUCACCUACAAUCCCUCUUUCUAAUAGAUGUGCACACUAUAAUGGAUUAAAUGAUUAAAAUGGAGAAGAACUUUGGUAUUAAGCUCCUCUCAUACACUAAUUCAUCCUAAACCUUAAUGUUAUCAGACUUUUUAUCAUAAAUUGGGGAUACUAUUAUCCUAUCUAGACUAAUGUUGUCAUACAUAAAUUUUGGGGAAACUAAUGGAGCUAAACUAACUAGAGUUUAAGGCUCUAAGGGAACCCACCUGAGUUGACGCUCGAACAAUACAACCGAUAUUUCUGGAACUCGCCAAAAUGCAGAAUUUGCAGCAAAAGCAGUUUAAACCGGUAAACAGGAUUUUCCGCAUAAUUUCCAUAUCAGACCCUCAACUUCAAACUGGUCUCCAGAUCUCAAUUCUCGGUCAAAUUCCACGAAUUUGACACCAUAACGAAGGUAAUUUCGUCANNN
rnacentral:lncRNA from 1 species